GGGUGUGGCUCUCCUGGCGGGAUUUGGGAGUGAAUCUUAGCACACUCUUCAGUGGCAGGUUGGCAGAUGCCAAGUGUUGAGGGACUCACAGACGGACGCUCUUCUGUUCUCCCCUGCUCCUUGCGCUGGCGGCUGGAAAGUGAGUGUUCUGCUCGGUAUUUUCUGAAUUCCUAUACCAUAAAUAUUCUCUUAACCAAAGGCCUGUCAGCAGAAGAGCCAACCCUGAAAGCCCUUGGUAAUUGGC